rnacentral:rRNA from 1 species
CAAGGUUAAAUCUCAAAUGAAUUGCCGGGGGCCCGCACAAGCGGUGGAGCAUGUGGUUUAAUUCGAUGCAACGCGAAGAACCUUCCCUACUCUUGACAUCCAGAGAACUUACCAGAGAUGCUUUGGUGCCUUCGGGAACUUUGAGACAGGUGUUGCAUGGCUGUCGUCAGCUCGUGUUGUGAAAUGUUGGGUUAAGUCCCGCAACGAGCGCAACCCUUAUCCUUUGUUGCCAGCGGUUAGGCCGGGAACUCAAAGGAGACUCCCAGUGAUAAACUGGAGGAAGGUGGGGAUGACGUCAAGUCAUCAUGGCCCUUAGGAGUAGGGCUACACACGUGCUACAAUGGCGCAUACAAAGAGAAUCGACCUCGCGAGAGCAAGCGGACCUCAUAAAGUGCGUUGUAGUCCGGAUUGGAGUCUGCAACUCGACUCCAUGAAGUCGGAAUCGCUAGUAAUCGUGGAUCAGAAUGCCACGGUGAAUACGUUCCCGGCCCUUGUACACACCGCCCGUCACACCAUGGGAGUGGGUUGCAAAAGAAGUAGGUAGCUUAACCUUCGGGAGGCCGCUUCCCACUUUGAGAUUCAGGCCUGCGGGAAGU